GGAUGUGAGUGCGAUCUGACUGCGACAUCUGUCACCCCAUUGAUCACCAGGGUUGAUUCGGCUGAUCUGGCUGGCUAGGAAGGUGUCCCUUUCCUUCCUCACCGCUCCAUGUAAGUCCCUCCCAAAGCUGCGCUUGGUCAAAGAGGACGUCUUCGGUCAAGGGUAUAUGAGUAGCUGCGCUCCCCUGCUAGAACCUCCAAACAAGCUCUCAAGUUUUACAGUUUUUACUAAUAUUUUAUAUCUUAGUGAUUCAUGAUAGCAAAGUACUACCAUUGUCCAUGCCUUUAGCAAGCAGUUUUUUUUU
rnacentral:snRNA from 1 species